rnacentral:rRNA from 1 species
CCUACGGGAGGCAGCAGUGAGGAAUAUUGGUCAAUGGCCGCAGGGCUGAACCAGCCAAGUCGCGUGAGGGAUGACGGUCCUAUGGAUUGUAAACCUCUUUUGUCAGGGAGCAAAGGGCGCCACGUGUGGCGCUUUGCGAGUACCUGAAGAAAAAGCAUCGGCUAACUCCGUGCCAGCAGCCGCGGUAAUACGGAGGAUCCGAGCGUUAUCCGGAUUUAUUGGGUUUAAAGGGUGCGAAGGCGGAAUGUUAAGUCAGCGGUAAAAUUUCGGGGCUCAACCCCGUCGUGCCGUUGAAACUGGCGUUCUUGAGUGAGCGAGAAGUAUGCGGAAUGCGUGGUGUAGCGGUGAAAUGCAUAGAUAUCACGAAGAACUCCGAUUGCGAAGGCAGCAUACCGGCGCUCAACUGACGCUCAGGCACGAAAGCGUGGGUAUCGAACAGGAUUAGAUACCCGGGUAGUC